CGACACAUUAGUUAUUUGGCAGGGUAAAGGCCUACCAAGACUAUGAUGUGUAGCUGGACUGAGAGGUUGAACAGCCACAUUGGGACUGAGACACGGCCCAAACUCCUACGGGAGGCAGCAGUAGGGAAUUUUCGGCAAUGGAGGAAACUCUGACCGAGCAACGCCGCGUGAACGAUGAAGUAUUUCGGUAUGUAAAGUUCUUUUAUUAAGGAAGAAAAAAGAGUGGAAAAACUCCCUUGACGGUACUUAAUGAAUAAGCCCCGGCUAAUUAUGUGCCAGCAGCCGCGGUAAUACAUAAGGGGCGAGCGUUAUCCGGAAUUAUUGGGCGUAAAGGGUGCGUAGGCGGUUUAAUAAGUCUAUAGUUUAAUUUCAGUGCUUAACGCUGUUAUGCUAUAGAAACUGUUUUACUAGAGUGAGAUAGAGGCAAGCGGAAUUCCAUGUGUAGCGGUAAAAUGCGUAAAUAUAUGGAGGAACACCAGAGGCGUAGGCGGCUUGCUGGGUCUUUUCUGACGCUGAGGCACGAAAGCGUGGGGAGCAAACAGGAUUAGAUACCCUGGUAGUCCACGCCGUAAACGAUGAGUACUAAGUGUCGGGUAAAACCGGUACUGAAGUUAACACAUUAAGUACUCCGCCUGAGUAGUACGUACGCAAGUAUGAAACUUAAAGGAAUUGACGGGACUCCGCACAAGCGGUGGAUCAUGUUGUUUAAUUCGAAGAUACACGAAAAACCUUACCAGGUCUUGACAUUUUCUUGCGAAGUUAUAGAAAUAUAAUGGAGGUUAUCAGGAAAACAGGUGGUGCAUGGUUGUCGUCAGCUCGUGUCGUGAGAUGUUAGGUUAAGUCCUAAAACGAGCGCAACCCUUGUCGUUAAUUGCCAGCAUGUAAUGAUGGGGACUUUAACGAGACUGCCAAUGAAAAAUUGGAGGAAGGUGGGGAUUACGUCAAAUCAUCAUGCCCCUUAUGAUCUGGGCUACAAACGUGAUACAAUGGUUGAUACAAAGAGUAGCUGAAACGCGAGUUCUUAGCCAAUCUCACAA
rnacentral:rRNA from 1 species